rnacentral:rRNA from 1 species
UACGUAGGUGGCGAGCGUUAUCCGGAAUUAUUGGGCGUAAAGAGCGCGCAGGUGGUUGAUUAAGUCUGAUGUGAAAGCCCACGGCUUAACCGUGGAGGGUCAUUGGAAACUGGUCGACUUGAGUGCAGAAGAGGGAAGUGGAAUUCCAUGUGUAGCGGUGAAAUGCGUAGAGAUAUGGAGGAACACCAGUGGCAAAGGCGGCUUCCUGGUCUGUAACUGACACUGAGGCGCGAAAGCGUGGGGAGCAAACAGGAUUAGAUACCCCGGUA